AACUUUUAACAACGGAUCUCUUGGCUCUCGCAUCGAUGAAGAACGCAGCGAAAUGCGAUAAGUAAUGUGAAUUGCAGAAUUCAGUGAAUCAUCGAAUCUUUGAACGCACCUUGCACCCUUUGGUAUUCCGAAGGGUAUGCCCGUUUGAGUGUCAUUGUAAUCUCACACCAACUUUAUUGUUGGAGGUGGACUUGGAGGUUGCUGUUGAAAAAUAGCUCUUCUUAAAUGUAUUAGUGUGGCUCUGGUUGGACUUAAGCCCGAUGUAAUAAAAUUUCAUUGUGGUGUCUAUCAGAAAAGUGCUUCUAACCGUCUUCGGACAAACUUUUUGACAACUUGGCCUCAAAUCGGGUAGGACUACCCGCUGAACUUAAGCAUAUCAAUAAGCGGAGGAAAAGAAACU
rnacentral:rRNA from 1 species